rnacentral:pre_miRNA from 1 species
UCUUUCACGUUAUUUCUCUAUUUUCUCCAACACUCUCCACCUCUUGAAAUUUAAGAAGGAAAAAAGUGAAAUGAGUGAUAUGAUAAGUGAUGUGAUAGA